AUUGAACGCUGGCGGCAGGCCUAACACAUGCAAGUCGAACGAGUGGCGGACGGGUGAGUAAUGUCUGGGAAACUGCCUGAUGGAGGGGGAUAAAUACUGGAAACGGUAGCUAAUACCGCAUACCAUCAGCUGUGCCCAGAUGGGUUUAGCUAGUUGGUGGGGUAACGGCUCACCAAGGCGACGAUCCCUAGCUGGUCUGAGAGGAUGACCGUCCACCCGUGAAAUUAGACACGGUCCAGACUCAUACGGGAGGCAGCAGUGGGGAAUAUUGCACAAUGGGCGAAAGCAUGAUUCAGCCAUGCCGCGUGUAUGAAGAAGGCCUUCGGGUUGUAAAGUACUUUCAGCGGAGAGGCGUUACCCGCAGAAGAAGCACCGGCUAACUCCGUGCCAGCAGCCCCGGUAAUUC
rnacentral:rRNA from 1 species